CACGUAGGAGGCAAACGUUAUCCGGAUUUACUGGGCGUAAAGCGCGUGUAGGUGGUACUGUAAGUAGGGCGUGAAAGCUCCUGGCUCAACUAGGAGAGGCCGUUCUAAACUACAGAACUCGAGUUCGACAGAGGAAGAUGGAAUUCCAGGUGUAGCGGUAAAAUGCGCAGAUAUCUGGAGGAACACCAGUGGCGAAAGCGGUCUUCUAGGUCAAUACUGACACUCAGACGCGAAAGCUAGGGUAGCAAACGGG
rnacentral:rRNA from 1 species